UCGUUUGUGCCCGUCGAAAUCAGUGAUGGCCGCGAGGCUCGCGAAGCACAAUACAUCGUGAUUCCGUUGAGUUUGUUUAUCGCAAUAUUCUUGUGCUAAGAAUAUUUCCACGGCUUUAGUUCGAAGCAGACUGAAUUUCUUCGCGGUUUUAUGUAACAAGUUCGUUCGAAUGAAUCGUAUUUGUCAUAACGAUCUAUAAAGACGCGGUUGAUCUUCUUGACAGUUCGGUCCUGUGUUCAGAGUAGCAGUAGCCACUCGAGUGCCACGAGAAGUGUUGCAUCGCCACUUGGCUGACUUUUUCAGAACGGUAGCCGUACUAAUGACGUCGUGUACGUGAUCGAACGAUACGAAAAAAGUUUCUGUCGACACGGUGACGGUCACCCCCACACCCGUCGGCACUUUUUUUUUCCUCUCACCCUUGCUGAAGACACGCGCAUCAAAGGUGUUCAAGGUAAAAUGGCGGAGGAUGGCGCAGGAGGAUCAGGAAACGGUAGCUCGGGAGAGGCGAGCCGGUUGCAGCUCCUGCAAGAGAUGCGGCAACAAAAUUUCGACAGCAUCCGGUUCGCAUCCUAUCGCACAGCUUGUAAGCUGAGAUUCAUUCAAAAGAAAGUUCAUCUACACAACGUCGACAUAUGGAAUGUAAUCGAGGCGUUUCGAGAAAACGGUUUGAACACACUGGAACCAUCGAGCACGUUGGGAGUGUCGAGGCUCGAAACUUUAUUGUCUUCCUUAUUUCACGCUCUUAAUAAACGAGUGCCUGUUUCUCAACAAGCCAAAGUCGAUGCUACGACUGCCCUGUUGAUGAACUGGCUACUUGCCGCCUACACUACAGGGGAAAACAAUAAAAUAUCUGUGUUCUCGGUGAAAGUAGCAUUGGCUACGUUGUGCGCAGGAAAGCUGAUGGAUAAGUUUCGAUAUAUAUAUUCGCAAAUAUCCGAUAGCAACGGUCACAUGAUACACUGGAGAUUCGCCGAGUAUUUGAAAGAAGUUCUAGCGUUAACAGCUGCUGUUUACGAGUCACCGUCCUUUGGGUACUCCGAGGGUCUCGCCAAUUCAAUAUUUCCUCAAAACUCGAAAGUCACGGUUAACGAUUUUUUGGAUACGCUUAUGUCUGAUCCAGGACCGCACUGUUUAAUAUGGCUUCCACUGUACCAUAGGAUGGCUGCUGUUGAAACAGUGGCCCAUCCUGUUAUGUGUGACGCGUGUCACAAAGAGAACUUUACUGGCUUCCGAUAUAGAUGUCAGAAAUGUCACUCGUAUCAGCUUUGCCAGGACUGCUUUUGGCGUGGUAAAGUUUCUGGAACACACAAUAACGACCACGAGACGAGGGAGUACAGUAGUUUCAAAUCACCUAGCAAACAAAUUGGGCAUUCCCUGAGGAAGAGUUUCAGAUGUGUACCUGAAAAAGGAAAGAACAGCUUACCGCGAUUUCCGGAGCAACCAGAGAAGACAUUAGAUUUAUCACACAUAGUCCCACCAUCACCUUUACCGUCUCACAACGGUUUUCCAGAUCCAGGUUUUAUGGCUCCUUUCGAUUCUGGAUCGAUGGAUAGCCGUUCUACCUUAAGGAGUAUGGAUAGUUCAAGACUGGAUGAUGAACAUAAAUUAAUAGCACGAUACGCACAAAGGUUGGCUCAGGAAGCUAGGACUAUGCCCCGUGCCGCAUCCAGAAUGUCGCAAGCUGAUCAAGCAGGUAGGGCUCCGUCUGAUGCAAAUUUGGCAUCGCUAGAUGCCUCGAGAGCACAACGAGAACUUAUAUCGCAGUUAGAAGCAAAGAACAAGGAAAUAAUGCGCGAGAUUGCAAGGUUAAGGAGACAGCAAGAGAUAGAAGCAGCUGGUUUAGAAAAUCCUGCAUUAAUGUCUGAGCUGAGAGCCUUAAGACAGAGAAAAGACGAAUUAGAAACUCACUUGGCAACGUUACAAGACUCCAGAAGACAAUUAAUGGUGCAGUUAGAAGGUUUAAUGAAAAUGUUAAAGAACCAUCAAGCAUCGCCAAGAUCAACACCAAAUAGUUCACCGCGAAGUACAAAGUCCCCACCUUUACCACCUGGUGCUGUUCCAAGCAGUAGAUCAGCACCUCCAACUCCAGGAGGUCCGCUUUCUACGACACCUCAACAGCAACAACAACAAUCGCAAAGCCAACAACAAAUGUCUCAAAGCUAUCAGAGUUCUGUUCCGACGACUUCAGUGGCGAGUGUAACCAAUAAUACCAUGCUGGGAACAAUACAAAAUCCUAUUCCAGAUAACUUGUCGUGUGUUGGAGGUGAUGUAAGGUCUGCGUUCAGGACAAACAGCUUGCCAGGAAGUGGUUCCAGCAGUGCGAAUAAUAGCUUGGGUCGAUCCUUAAGAAAUGACUUAUUGGUAGCUGCUGACAGUGUUACUAAUGCCAUGUCAACACUCGUGAGGGAAUUAAAUUCGGACUCAGACCAGGAGGAUCAUUCUCACAACUCUGGCCGAAUUAACAUCAGAAAACCGUUAGAAAGCAAAAUAACAAACACUAAAUUCUCAGAUUUCGAGGCUGGUGAGGAUGGAGAUGAUAGUAGCGGCGGUGGAAAUUCUUGGCGAGAAGAACUUCAGCGUCGCUAUCAGCAAGAAAAUGAUUUUCUGGCUGAAUUGCGUGCACGCAAUGUUAACAUGUCGCAAACACCAUCCGCUACCCCAUCCAGUGAACAAGAACAAGAAAGAGGAGAAAGGGAAGAAGCGGAUGGAGAAAAGGAAGAUGAAAAUGAAUCUAACUGGACAGAACCAGUGAAAAGAUGGGUCAAUCGAUAAGUUUGUUAGAUGACAUCUAUACAUAUUUAUUCUAAUGGCUUAGGAACUGCUGCUAAAUGAAAUGCAAAUAAGUUAUUAUAGCUCCACUGGUUAUUUAUGAUGGGAAUAUAUCUGGGUGUUAGUGUGAAAUAUAAUCAGUACGAUAUUAGAGUUUGGAGAGUAUUUAAAAGUCUUAAAUUUUUAAAACAGUACUUUUAAUUUCAAAAAACUGUUUGUCAUAAGAUACCAUGCUAUAAAUUUCAAUGAUAAUAUUAAAUUAAUAUUACUAUCUUUAGAAAGAAUGGCGUAUUGCUUACUUUGAUAUUUAGUAACUAUUUUUUAAUAUUAUUUACAAACUUUUAUCGUUUAUCUUCUUCAGUUCAAUAUAGUAUUUAAUAUAUUUAUACUUUUUGAAGAACAUUAUGUGAUUUCUUUUUUUUAAAACAAAUAUCGUUUAGUUUCUUUUUGUGCUUGUAAUUAAAUAAAUUAAAUAUAAUGGUAUAAGUAAUUAAAAUCAAGAAUGUAACUUAUAGUGUUUAUAGGCCUAAAAAUACAAGAGUUGAUCUUUAAAUUAGGCUAAAUAUGAAAAAUGAACAUUCUUUGUUUAGAUACUUAUUAAUUUAGCAAACAGAAUAUCAUGCAUAUACAAUUUUAACAUAAAAGUUUAAAAACGAUAUUAGACCAAAUGCUCAAUAGUAAAUAACAUGUAGUCUACAUUAUGUAGAUGAGAAUAUGGAGUAAACUUUUGCACAAGUCUCUUUGACCAACUUUAUACAAGAAGGAAAGCAACAUGUGCUGGAAGGCAAAAAAGGUGAAGCUCAAAACAGUUGCAAUUAAAAGUAAGAAUUUUUAAUGGCGAAUUAAUAAUGGAUAAUCUUAUAAAUACCAAAGG